rnacentral:rRNA from 1 species
UACGUAGGGGGCUAGCGUCGUCCGGAAUCAUUGGGCGUAAAGCGCGUGUAGGCGGUUCGGUAAGUCCGCUGUGAAAGUCGGGGGCUCAACCCUCGAAUGCCGGUGGAUACUGUCGGACUAGAGUACGGAAGAGGCGAGUGGAAUUCCUGGUGUAGCGGUGAAAUGCGCAGAUAUCAAGGAGGAACACCAAUUGCGAAGGCAGCUCGCUGGGACGUUACUGACGCUGAGACGCGAAAGCGUGGGGAGCAAACAGG